UGGACUCAAGACUCGUCCAUCAAAGAAAGCGAUAUGUGCACUAAUCUCAGCGGAUCGAUCACCGUCCUCGUGAUGAUCCAUCGAUCAGGAGCAAUUCAGAAAUUAAUCACCAAUGACACAUGCCUCAAAUUCUCAACUCUUGAGAAUAUGCAUCAUUAUAUUAUUAAUUUCUUGGACGAUUCAUGGACACAUAAGAACAUGAAUGAAAAGAAUGCCCAACUUAAUAAAUUCAUAAUUAGGUCAAGUACAAAUUUAUGUCCCAGAAUAAAAUAAUGCGUCAGCCAAAUUGGCUUCUAGGGCAUACUUCUAACAACAAAUGGGUGCAUUGACACAUAAUUAAAAAUAAGUCUCAAUUUAUUCAUUAAAUCUAGUAUAAGGUUUAACAUUCUACAUCGUGUAUCAAAAUUAUCUUUUUAUGAAAUUACGAUACUCUCUGCAUCAAAGUUCUUAAAUGCCUCAUAUGUUGAAUUUUUAUCUCAACGAUCUUAGCAUAAAAUUUUUCUAGUGCUUGCAUGAUAAUAAAAAAAAUAAUGAAUGAAUAUGUAUAACCUUCUCCUUUAAGUUUUUCAAAAUCUAAAUUUCUUCUCUAAUAAAAAUGGUUGAUGCUGAUUUCAUGCUAAAACUUUAUUGAGCAUAAUACUUAUGAAAUCUUAGGUUAUCCUUCGUGAAGGUAUGAAUGUAAUUCAUCAUGUUAUUAUACCAUUCAUU
rnacentral:lncRNA from 1 species